GACGAACGCUGGCGGCGUGCUUAACACAUGCAAGUCGAACGGAAAGGCCCUGCUUUUGUGGGGUGCUCGAGUGGCGAACGGGUGAGUAACACGUGAGUAACCUGCCCUUGACUUUGGGAUAACUUCAGGAAACUGGGGCUAAUACCGGAUAGGAGCUCCUGCUGCAUGGUGGGGGUUGGAAAGUUUCGGCGGUUGGGGAUGGACUCGCGGCUUAUCAGCUUGUUGGUGGGGUAGUGGCUUACCAAGGCUUUGACGGGUAGCCGGCCUGAGAGGGUGACCGGCCACAUUGGGACUGAGAUACGGCCCAGACUCAUACGGGAGGCGGCAGUGGGGAAUAUUGCACAAUGGGCGGAAGCCUGAUGCAGCAACGCCGCGUGCGGGAUGACGGCCUUCGGGUUGUAAACCGCUUUCGCCUGUGACGAAGCGUGAGUGACGGUAAUGGGUAAAGAAGCACCGGCUAACUACGUG
rnacentral:rRNA from 1 species